AAAACCUCUUCAUUGGCCAUAACCGAGGAGGCAGAGAGAGCUGCUAAAGAGGUCCUCUAUCCUCCUUCACCAUUUGUAACCGGGGAAGAACAGGAGAUCUUCAAAAGCCCUGGGUACCUGAGUCUGCGGGGAAAUAUUGAGAAAGUUAGUGAAUUUAAAAUCACAAUUGAAUAUCUAGUACAAUAUCCUGGUUUACUUAUCCUAAGCAAAUGUAAACUAUUAUAAUUGUGUUUCUCAAUCACAGUCCUAGAGAACCCUAACACUCUUAUCUGAGAUACACAUUUAGGUGAAUUAACUUUGAUUGGGAAUACAUAGAAAAUAUUCAGUGUUGUGGAUACCUGGAACAGGACUGAGAAACACUCAUCUGUGACACUGGGCUGUUAUUUUCCAUUUGGAAGUGGCCAGGAUGACUCGGGCCCAGUAUCCCCUCCUGGACCUUUCUUUGAGGUCUGGAACAAACUUCUGGAGGUAACUUUGUGAAGAGAAGAGGCGUUGAUGGACCUGUACGUCGGGAUAAGGUGGAGGUCAGCCACCUAAGGGCAAAACUUCUGCCCAGUGGAGGAGGCAAAUUUGACUCCUCCAACUAUAUGACUGUCAAGAUCGCAGAGCGCCAGAUCCUUGAAGCAGUGCUGACAAUUACCGAAGUGUCCGAGGAUGAUAAUAAUAUGCUCAUCCUGUUGGGCAGUGAACUAAGACUACGCUUUACCGAGCCUUGGUACAGCAGCAGCCAAUUACAUUAAAAGUCCAGCAUAUUCAUCAUCAUGUGCUGAAACUUGAGGCUGCAAAAUCCCUGGAUACAGCUGAGGAUGCAGAAUCCCUGGACCUUAUCGAGGCAUCAGAAGCUGCAGAAUCCCUAGAUGUUGAAAACACUUGAGGCUUAAAAUGUGUUUGUGUCAUGAUCAUUGACUUUUAUUUUGAUUUUGAUUAGGUUUUGUUUUCUUAAGUUC
rnacentral:lncRNA from 1 species